GACGAACGCUGGCGGUGUGCCUAAUACAUGCAAGUCGAGCGCCGACGGAUGGUACUUUUACCCACUGGAUGAGCAGCUAACGGGUGAGUAACGCGUGGGGCAUCUGCCUUUUAUCGGGGGACAACAUUUGGAGACGAAUGCUGAUACUACAUAAAAACUUUAAACACAAGAUUUAAGGUUGAAACAUGCAAUUGCAUCACUCAUAGAUGAUCCCGCGUUUUAUUAGCUAGUUGGUGAGGUAAAGGCUCACCAAGGCGAAGAUACAUAGCCGACCCGAGAGGGUGGACCGCCCACAUGGGACUGGGAAACGGCCCAAGCUCCUACGGGAAGGAGCAGUAGGGGAACUUCGGACAUGGACGGAAGGCUGACCGCGGCACGCCGCGUGAGUGAAGGAAGUUUUCGGAUCGUAAAACUCUGUUGGUAGAGAAGAACGUUCGUGAGAGUGGAAAGCUCAUCAAGUGACGGUAACCAACCAGAAAGGGACGGCUAACUACGUG
rnacentral:rRNA from 1 species